rnacentral:rRNA from 1 species
AUUGAACGCUGGCGGCAGGCCUAACACAUGCAAGUCGAACGAGUGGCGGACGGGUGAGUAAUGUCUCGGAACCUGCCUGAUGGCGGGGGAUAACUACUGGAAACAGUAGCUAAUACCGCAUACCAUCAGAGGUGCCCAGAUGGGAUUAGCUAGUGGGGGGGGUAACGGCUCACCAAGGCGACGAUCCCUAGCUGGUCUGAGAGGAUGACCAGCCACACUGGAACUGAGACACGGUCCAGACUCCUACGGGAGGCAGCAGUGGGGAAUAUUGCACAAUGGGCGAAAGCCUGAUGCAGCCAUGCCGCGUGUAUGAAGAAGGCCUUCGGGUUGUAAAGUACUUUCGGCGGGGAGGCGGUACCCGCAGAAGAAGCACCGGCUAACUCCGUGCCAGCAGCCGCGGUAAUUC